rnacentral:lncRNA from 1 species
CACUAUUUCCCAUUCUCCAUUAUCAAAAAAGUCUCUUUUGUCAACAUCAUAAUCUUCUAAAAUUAUAUCAACCUGGGAGCCAUCGUAAGUCCAGGAACCAAAUUUCAUAGAGCAGUUUUGGAGGUCAAAGGGAAAGAAGGUUACGUCAAUAGUACAAGAACUUUUAUAAUUUGCUGGUGGAGUCCAAGCAAUGGUGCCAUCAUAUUUUACCACAGUUUUAGUAGACGUCCCCUCAAAACGUCCAUCUGCAUUGUCAUAUAACACAAUGUCUGGAAUCCAAAUAGAAUCUGAUGGGACACGAAUAGAUGUUAUUCCAGCAUAAUCUUCAGGGUUCCAUCUUAAUUUUACAUCUAUCCACUCCUGUUUCAGCCAGACAUUCGUGGUCAUCAGUUGAUUCUUCUCAUCCACAUCUACUAGCUGCGAGAUUGCAAGACCAAACUUGAUUUUUAUUGUAUCAUUCAAGUGCUCCACCGGGCGAACCCAUCUUUGAUAGUCUUCAAAUAAAUGUUUAAACAAACGAUCUUCACUCUUGGCAACAAAAGAAGGUUCAGAUACACCCGCCUGAGGGGCGCGGGCGGCCGGGCCGGCUCCGGGCUUCCCGAGAACGGGCGCGAAGAGGCAUGUGAGGAGGAGCAGGGGGCGGCCGCAGCGCAGCCCUGCACGCAGCUCGGCCAUGGCCCCGCCGCCUCCGAGCCCCGCGGCGGGCACGGGGCGCCGCUGC